GACGAACGCCGGCGGCGUGCCUAACACAUGCGAGUCGAGCGGAGAUUGCAGUAAUGUAAUCUUAGCGGCGGACGGGUGAGUAACGCGUGGGCAACCUACCUUUAUCUGGGGGAUAACACAGGGAAACUUGUGCUAAUACCGCAUAAAAUCAUAAGAAGACAUCUUCUAAUGAUCAAAGGAGUAAUCCGGAUAGAGAUGGGCCCGCGUCCGAUUAGCUAGUUGGUGGUGUAACGGACCACCAAGGCGACGAUCGGUAGCCGAACUGAGAGGUUGAUCGGCCACAUUGGGACUGAGGCACGGCCCAGACUCCUACGGGAGGCAGCAGUGGGGAAUAUUGCGCAAUGGGGGAAACCCUGACGCAGCAACGCCGCGUGAAGGAUGAAGGUUUUCGGAUCGUAAACUUCUUUGAUGAGGGACGAAUAAAUGACGGUACCUCAAAAACAAGCCACGGCUAACUACGUGCCAGCAGCCGCCGUAA
rnacentral:rRNA from 1 species